rnacentral:rRNA from 1 species
AGGGCGCACGGUGGAUGCCUUGGCACCAGGAACCGAUGAAGGACGUGGGAGGCCACGAUAGUCCCCGGGGAGUCGUCAACCAGGCUUUGAUCCGGGGGUUUCCGAAUGGGGAAACCCGGCAGUCGUCAUGGGCUGUCACCCUUGCCUGAACACAUAGGGCAAGUGGAGGGAACGCGGGGAAGUGAAACAUCUCAGUACCCGCAGGAAGAGAAAACAACCGUGAUUCCGGGAGUAGUGGCGAGCGAAACCGGAUGAGGCCAAACCGUAUGCGUGUGAGACCCGGCAGGGGUUGCGUAUACGGGGUUGUGGGAUCUCUCUUUCAUGGUCUGCCGGCCAUGAGACGAGUCAGAAACCGUUGAUGUAGGCGAAGGACAUGCGAAAGGUCCGGCGUAGAGGGUAAGACCCCCGUAGUCGAAACAUCAGCGGCUCGUUUGAGAGACACCCAAGUAGCACGGGGCCCGAGAAAUCCCGUGUGAAUCUGGCGGGACCACCCGCUAAGCCUAAAUAUUCCCUGGUGACCGAUAGCGGAUAGUACCGUGAGGGAAUGGUGAAAAGUACCGCGGGAGCGGAGUGAAAUAGUACCUGAAACCGUGUGCCUACAAGCCGUGGGAGCGUCGGACAUCAAGCUUGCUUGGUGUCUCGUGACUGCGUGCCUUUUGAAGAAUGAGCCUGCGAGUUUGCGGUGUGUUGCGAGGUUAACCCGGGUGGGGAAGCCGUAGCGAAAGCGAGUCCGAAUAGGGCGUUUCAGUAGCAUGCUCAAGACCCGAAGCGGAGUGAUCUAGCCAUGGGCAGGUUGAAGCGGAGGUAAGACUUCGUGGAGGACCGAACCCACCAGGGUUGAAAACCUGGGGGAUGACCUGUGGUUAGGGGUGAAAGGCCAAUCAAACUCCGUGAUAGCUGGUUCUCCCCGAAAUGCAUUUAGGUGCAGCGUCGUGUGUUUCUUGCCGGAGGUAGAGCACUGGAUAGGCGAUGGGCCCUACCGGGUUACUGACCUUAGCCAAACUCCGAAUGCCGGUAAGUGAGAGCGCGGCAGUGAGACUGUGGGGGAUAAGCUCCAUGGUCGAGAGGGAAACAGCCCAGAGCAUCGACUAAGGCCCCUAAGCGUACGCUAAGUGGGAAAGGAUGUGGAGUCGCACAGACAACCAGGAGGUUGGCUUAGAAGCAGCCACCCUUGAAAGAGUGCGUAAUAGCUCACUGGUCUAGUGAUUCCGCGCCGACAAUGUAGCGGGGCUCAAGCGUACCGCCGAAGUCGUGUCAUUCACACAAUAGGGCCAACGCCUGUGUGGAUGGGUAGGGGAGCGUCGUGUGCCGGGUGAAGCAGCCGCGGAAGCGAGUUGUGGACGGUUCACGAGUGAGAAUGCAGGCAUGAGUAGCGAUACACACGUGAGAAACGGAUCUGCCCAGGGUAAGUCGGGACCUAAGGCGGAUCUGCCCAGGGUAAGUCGGGACCUAAGGCGAGGCCGACAGGCGUAGUCGAUGGAUAACCGGUUGAUAUUCCGGUACCCGCUGUGAAGCGUCAAACAUUGAAUCCAGUGAUGCUAAGCCCGUGAAGCCGCCGGCUGAGUCUUCGGACGAGGUCGGAGUGGUGGAGCCGGUGACCCGAGCUGGUAGUAGGUGAGUGAUGGGGUGACGCAGGAAGGUAGUCCAUCCCGGGCUGAGACCUGAUGCCGAGCCGAUUGUGGUGAAGUGGAUGAUCCUAUGCUGUCGAGAAAAGCCUCUAGCGAGUUUCAUGGCGGCCCGUACCCUAAACCGACUCAGGUGGUCAGGUAGAGAAUACCGAGGCGUUCGGGUGAACUAUGGUUAAGGAACUCGGCAAAAUGCCCCCGUAACUUCGGGAGAAGGGGGGCCAUCACUGGUGAGGGGACUUGCUCUCCGAGCUGGGGGUGGCCGCAGAGACCAGCGAGAAGCGACUGUUUACUAAAAACACAGGUCCGUGCGAAGCCGUAAGGCGAUGUAUACGGACUGACGCCUGCCCGGUGCUGGAACGUUAAGGGGACCGGUUAGUCACUCUUCGGGGUGGCGAAGCUGAGAACUUAAGCGCCAGUAAACGGCGGUGGUAACUAUAACCAUCCUAAGGUAGCGAAAUUCCUUGUCGGGUAAGUUCCGACCUGCACGAAUGGCGUAACGACUUCUCGACUGUCUCAACCAUAGGCCCGGUGAAAUUGCACUACGAGUAAAGAUGCUCGUUUCGCGCAGCAGGACGGAAAGACCCCGGGACCUUUACUACAGUUUGAUAUUGGUGUUCGGUUCGGCUUGUGUAGGAUAGCUGGGAGACUUUGAUCAUCGGACGCCAGUUCGGUGGGAGUCGUCGUUGAAAUACCAGUCUGGUCGUGCUGGAUGUCUAACCUGGGUCCGUGAUCCGGAUCAGGGACAGUGUCUGAUGGGUAGUUUAACUGGGGCGGUUGCCUCCUAAAGAGUAACGGAGGCGCCCAAAGGUUCCCUCAGCCUGGUUGGCAAUCAGGUGUUGAGUGUAAGUGCACAAGGGAGCUUGACUGUGAGACCGACGGGUCGAGCAGGGACGAAAGUCGGGACUAGUGAUCCGGCGGUGGCUUGUGGAAGCGCCGUCGCUCAACGGAUAAAAGGUACCCCGGGGAUAACAGGCUGAUCUUCCCCAAGAGUCCAUAUCGACGGGAUGGUUUGGCACCUCGAUGUCGGCUCGUCGCAUCCUGGGGCUGGAGUCGGUCCCAAGGGUUGGGCUGUUCGCCCAUUAAAGCGGUACGCGAGCUGGGUUUAGAACGUCGUGAGACAGUUCGGUCCCUAUCCGCUGUGCGCGUAGGAGUCUUGAGAAGGGCUGUCCCUAGUACGAGAGGACCGGGACGGACGAACCUCUGGUGUGCCAGUUGUCCUGCCAAGGGCAUGGCUGGUUGGCUACGUUCGGGAGGGAUAACCGCUGAAAGCAUCUAAGCGGGAAGCCUGCUUCGA